rnacentral:rRNA from 1 species
AUUGAACGCUGGCGGCAGGCCUAACACAUGCAAGUCGAGCGGAUGAAGGGAGCUUGCUCCUGGAUUCAGCGGCGGACGGGUGAGUAAUGCCUAGGAAUCUGCCUGGUAGCGGGGGAUAACGUCCGGAAAUGGGCGCUAAUACCGUAUACGUCCUGAGGGAGAACGUGGGGGAUCUUCGGACCUCACGCUAUUAGAUGAGCCUAGGUCGGAUUAGCUAGUUGGUGGGGUAAAGGCCUACCAAGGCGACGAUCCGUAACUGGUCUGAGAGGAUGAUCAGUCACACUGGAACUGAGACACGGUCCAGACUCCUACGGGAGGCAGCAGUGGGGAAUAUUGGACAAUGGGCGAAAGCCUGAUCCAGCCAUGCCGCGUGUGUGAAGAAGGUCUUCGGAUUGUAAAGCACUUUAAGUUGGGAGGAAGGGCAGUAAGUUAAUACCUUGCUGUUUUGACGGUACCAACAGAAUAAGCACCGGCUAACUUCGUG